GAAAGAUCUAAUUGUUGUUUACGCAGCUGUUAAGGGUCAUGAGUCGCACAUGACCGAGGACGAGAACGAGACUGCUUCAAUUUGUAUUAAAACUAUGUGCGAAGUAAUUAGGGAGCAACAAUUUCAUUCCGACUUCGUAUCAAUGAUGGAAUGUGUUAACCAACGAAUUUGCGAGUCCGGCAAUAAGUAUCAGACGUGCGUGGAAAUGGACAGUCAGCUGACAAAGAAGCUUUUCCUUUUCGAAACCAAAACGGAAAAGGAAGGGGAACCUCUAUCAGCCAGUGCCUUGGGAGGUAGUACCCAGACUCGACUCGGGUAGGUGUUGAGGCAAGAUUGGCUUAAUAAUUAACACAUGUUCGAGUCAGGUUAUCUAACGUGAUCAAAUACUUACCGUAUUGUCCAAAGUUGUUUGUCCACAAUUUUUUGUCAUGUGUCACCAACUUUAUGUAGUUAGCUUGGACAAGUAAAGAAAUGAAAGAGUGAAUGAACCUUCCGUGGGCAUUUGUUUAAAAAUAUGUUUGUGUUAAAGUGGUAGCCUUCGUGAAUUUUAGGUAAAACCUAGUUGUAAUUGUUGAUGGCUUUCAUGUUAUAUUUAAAAAUAAGCGUGGAUUAUUCAAAGAAAAACGUGUCCUUUUUUGGAUAAAAAGGCAGAUUUGUUGAAUAUAUCGGUCUUUGAGUAUUAAUGAAUGAUAAAGGCAUUUAUUUAAAUGUUGAAACACUGAAACAAAUAAACUGAUUGAGUAAUUAAUGUACCUUAAUGAUUUUUUUAUAAAUUUUGAAUGUCAAAUCUAUGUUAUGUUUACAAAUAACAAUUAAAAGAAAUCCACUUAUCCAAAAUUGAAGCGAGACUACGUUUAUGUAAUGCUUCCAGCACAACAAGAGUAGGACUGUGUUUCAUAUAAACAUUAUAAUGUUAUGCCGGAUUUAACUUUUAUUUCGGAUUGAAUCCUUAAAACUAAUACAUUCAUUCAUAUAUUUCUUGUUUGUUUCAAAUAACUUAAGUUAAAGUAGCUUUACCUCCGAUGCAUAUCAUUAUGCUUGCUCUUAGUAUGUACCUCCUAUGCAAUGUUUUGGACAUGCUACAUUAAUGUACUCUGGUAAGCAUUUUAGAAAUAUUGGACCGAUGUAUGAUAUCAACUAUGACUUGAUACACUUUAUUUACUUUACAUGUAGCUUAUAGGUUCGAGUCCAGAUUGUUGUUUGUGUUGAGAUGUUUGCAUUUCGGAAAUUGCAUGUAAGAGGUGUGCAUUCAGUUUGUUUGAAACCAAAGAAAGGGUCGGAUGUGAAACCAUUGUAUAAAUACUGCUUCUGAUAAAAAGGUUUAAACUAACCGAGUAAAUGUUUCCAAGUUGACAAUUUUCACAAUUGAAAUGCACAAAAUUUGGACAACUAAAUAAAAAAGGUUCAGUGCCUUUACCCUAUAUGUAUAUACAUGUUAUUUAAAACGAUAUAUUUAAAUGUUGUGUUAUUCUGCGUCAACAGUUUAGUUCGAACCUUUUCUUUAAAACAAAUAUUUAUGUUCAGCUAUUUCAUGGUGUGUGAUUAAAAAAACGAUUCAAGUAAAAUAGCUAUUCUUCAGUAACAUUACAUAAAGCGUGCUCCUACUAUGUCAAUUGUAUCUUCUUUAUGCAAUAUUUAAAACAAAAUCAAUACAAUUGGGAUCUAUUAUUU